GGGUUGUGAGGUUAAGCGACUAAGCGUACACGGUGGAUGCCCUGGCAGUCAGAGGCGAUGAAGGGCGUGCUAAUCUGCGAUAAGCGCCGGUAAGGUGAUAUGAACCGUUAUAACCGGCGAUACCCGAAUGGGGAAACCCAGUGUGAUUCGUCACACUAUCAUUAACUGAAUCCAUAGGUUAAUGAGGCGAACCGGGGGAACUGAAACAUCUAAGUACCCCGAGGAAAAGAAAUCAACCGAGAUUCCCCCAGUAGCGGCGAGCGAACGGGGAGGAGCCCAGAGCCUGAAUCAGCAUGUGUGUUAGUGGAAGCGUCUGGAAAGGCGCGCGAUACAGGGUGACAGCCCCGUACACAAAAGCGCAUGUGCUGUGAGCUCGAUGAGUAGGGCGGGACACGUGGUAUCCUGUCUGAAUAUGGGGGGACCAUCCUCCAAGGCUAAAUACUCCUGACUGACCGAUAGUGAACCAGUACCGUGAGGGAAAGGCGAAAAGAACCCCGGCGAGGGGAGUGAAAAAGAACCUGAAACCGUGUACGUACAAGCAGUGGGAGCACCCUUUG
rnacentral:rRNA from 1 species